rnacentral:lncRNA from 1 species
CCCCCAUUUGAAUUACUUUAUAUGUUCACUACCAGUUUCAAAUGACAAAAGGAGUAAGUGAAAGUAAAAGAAAAGUGCAUAAAAGAAAAAGUACUCGCUUGAACAGAUCUGCAAAGCUUCAUACUUGUAUCAAUGUGCUUUGUAAUAAGCAUUACUGCAUUAGUAUACAAAUAGAAACAUCAUGAUACAUAAAGAAAUUCGUCGCAUCGUGUUGCAAAACCAGAAAAGUAAAACCAAACCCCCUCUCCUAGAGCCUCUUCCCUAUGAUUUUCUUAGACACCAUGGGAAUGAUGGGGGCAGAAGUUUAGAGCUAGCAUGGAAAGGGACACCAUGGUACAUUGAAAAGGAGAGGCUCUUUGUACAGCAAAACAACUCAGUGCACUCGGCGGGCAAGGUUGCGGAAGGAGGGUUGCUGCCAUCAGGGUAGGAAUCAACCCCCACCCAAACCCUAUCUGCAUAAGAACAAAAAAAAAUAGGAAGAAAUUAAUUAGUGGGAUGAGCUCAGGUCAAAAAAUGAGGAAAGGAGUAAGAAAGGGCUCACCUGUGCUGGUGUCUCCGCCAUGAACUGGGAGCUGUCCUUGACAUCUCCUCUGCAGGUAGCCAUCUGGGUGGGGGCUCGACCAGGACGAAUUCGUCCAGUGUCAUUCACUGUUGUCCUCACUGCAACACACUGUUGUCUGUGGCCUGCCUAGCUUCUAUGUGCCCUCUCCACCCUGCCUGAAUGGGAGAGAUUGGAGAGGGAUGAGGAGGGGUUGUGAGGAAGAGACAGGACCCGUUGAAGAGAAAAAAAUAGAGGACCUGUGGAAGAGAGAAAGAGUGUUCACCUGUUCUGACUAAAACACCCGGAGAACGAGCAAGCGGAAGCGGGAAGCGCGUGCAAAGGAGGUGCGUGAGGAGGAUGCGACCAUGGCCAUGAGGAGGAGCGGCACCGCUGCUGCUUCACCCAUGGCCAUGAGGAGGAGCGGCGCCGCUGCUGCUUCACCCGUGGCCAUGAGGAGGAGCGGCGCCGCUGCUGCUUCACCCAUGGCCAUGAGGAGGAGCGGCGCCGCUGCUGCUUCACCCGUGGCCAUGAGGAGGAGCGGCGCCGUCGCUGCUGCGCAGAGGAGCGAAGAGAACACACGAUUAAAAGUCUGAAGGAUUCAUCUAACAUCAUAGGUCUUCAUGGGUCUAGAAAUCAACCUGGAUUUACUACCUGAAGAAAGGGAAAUAGGCAUGUACUUUGUCCAAGAUCUAGAAUGAUAUAUACGAUACGAAAACACUGUGCAUCUAGCUAUUCAUAUAUGAAACAAAAUCAUAACAAUUUUACCUAAUCAAGGUAAUGAGCUUCCACGAGCACAUUCGCUGCUCCUACCAAUUGUGCAGAACUAUCAGGCUGCGAACAUUUAGGAAGGGGCCAAAAAAUUAUAAAGCACUACAGCAGCAGCUCAUCAUGGCAAUC